AGUGAACGCUGGCGGUAGGCCUAACACAUGCAAGUCGAACGGCAGCACAGUAAGAGCUUGCUCUUACGGGUGGCGAGUGGCGGACGGGUGAGGAAUACAUCGGAAUCUACUUUUUCGUGGGGGAUAACGUAGGGAAACUUACGCUAAUACCGCAUACGACCUACGGGUGAAAGCAGGGGAUCUUCGGACCUUGCGCGAUUGAAUGAGCCGAUGUCGGAUUAGCUAGUUGGCGGGGUAAAGGCCCACCAAGGCGACGAUCCGUAGCUGGUCUGAGAGGAUGAUCAGCCACACUGGAACUGAGACACGGUCCAGACUCCUACGGGAGGCAGCAGUGGGGAAUAUUGGACAAUGGGCGGAAGCCUGAUCCAGCCAUACCGCGUGGGUGAAGAAGGGCUUCGGGUUGUAAAGCCCUUUUGUUGGGAAAGAAAAGCAGCAGGUUAAUACCCCGCUGUUCUGACGGUACCCAAAGAAUAAGCACCGGCUAACUUCGUG
rnacentral:rRNA from 1 species